rnacentral:rRNA from 1 species
GGUUAAGCGACUAAGCGUACACGGUGGAUGCCCUGGCAGUCAGAGGCGAUGAAGGACGUGCUAAUCUGCGAUAAGCGUCGGUAAGGUGAUAUGAACCGUUAUAACCGGCGAUUUCCGAAUGGGGAAACCCAGUGUGAUUCGUCACACUAUCAUUAACUGAAUCCAUAGGUUAAUGAGGCGAACCGGGGGAACUGAAACAUCUAAGUACCCCGAGGAAAAGAAAUCAACCGAGAUUCCCCCAGUAGCGGCGAGCGAACGGGGAGGAGCCCAGAGCCUGAAUCAGUGUGUGUGUUAGUGGAAGCGUCUGGAAAGGCGCGCGAUACAGGGUGACAGCCCCGUACACAAAAAUGCACAUGCUGUGAGCUCGAUGAGUAGGGCGGGACACGUGGUAUCCUGUCUGAAUAUGGGGGGACCAUCCUCCAAGGCUAAAUACUCCUGACUGACCGAUAGUGAACCAGUACCGUGAGGGAAAGGCGAAAAGAACCCCGGCGAGGGGAGUGAAAAAGAACCUGAAACCGUGUACGUACAAGCAGUGGGAGCACGCUUAGGCGUGUGACUGCGUACCUUUUGUAUAAUGGGUCAGCGACUUAUAUUCUGUAGCAAGGUUAACCGAAUAGGGGAGCCGAAGGGAAACCGAGUCUUAACUGGGCGUUAAGUUGCAGGGUAUAGACCCGAAACCCGGUGAUCUAGCCAUGGGCAGGUUGAAGGUUGGGUAACACUAACUGGAGGACCGAACCGACUAAUGUUGAAAAAUUAGCGGAUGACUUGUGGCUGGGGGUGAAAGGCCAAUCAAACCGGGAGAUAGCUGGUUCUCCCCGAAAGCUAUUUAGGUAGCGCCUCGUGAAUUCAUCUCCGGGGGUAGAGCACUGUUUCGGCAAGGGGGUCAUCCCGACUUACCAACCCGAUGCAAACUGC